AACGAACGCUGGCGGCAUGCCUAACACAUGCAAGUCGAACGAGAGCUUCGGGUCUAGUGGCGCACGGGGGCGUAACGCGUGGGAACCGGCACUUAGGGUCGGAAUAACUCUCCGAAAGGGGUGCUAAUACCGGAUAAUGUCUUCUGACCAAAGAUUUAUCGCAUUUGGAUGGGCCCGCGUUGGAUUAGCUAUUUGUUAGGGUAAAAGCAUACCAAGGCGACGAUCCAUAGAUGGUCUGAGAGAAUGAUCAGCCACUCUGGGACGCAGACACGGCCCAGAAUCUUACGCGAGGGAGCAGUGGGGGAUAUUGGAAAAUGGGCGAAAGGAUGAUCCAGCAAUGACGCGUGAGUGAUGAAGGCCUUAGGGUUGUAAAGCUCUUUUACCCGGGAUGAUAAUGACAGUACCGGGAGAAUAAGCUCCGGCUAACUCCGUG
rnacentral:rRNA from 1 species